AAUAGAUACCCGGGUAGUCCACGCCGUAAACGAUGAGUGCUAAGUGUUAGAGGGUUUCCGCCCUUUAGUGCUGCAGCUAACGCAUUAAGCACUCCGCCUGGGGAGUACGGCCGCAAGGCUGAAACUCAAAGGAAUUGACGGGGGCCCGCACAAGCGGUGGAGCAUGUGGUUUAAUUCGAAGCAACGCGAAGAACCUUACCAGGUCUUGACAUCCUCUGACAACCCUAGAGAUAGGGCUUUCCCCUUCGGGGGACAGAGUGACAGGUGGUGCAUGGUUGUCGUCAGCUCGUGUCGUGAGAUGUUGGGUUAAGUCCCGCAACGAGCGCAACCCUUGAUCUUAGUUGCCAGCAUUCAGUUGGGCACUCUAAGGUGACUGCCGGUGACAAACCGGAGGAAGGUGGGGAUGACGUCAAAUCAUCAUGCCCCUUAUGACCUGGGCUACACACGUGCUACAAUGGAUGGUACAAAGGGCUGCAAACCUGCAGGUAAGCGAAUCCCAUAAAGCCAUUCUCAGUUCGGAUUGCAGG
rnacentral:rRNA from 1 species